GCCGGGUGUGCUGGCUCACACCUGUAAUCCCAGCACUCUGGGAGGCCGAGGCGGGAGAAUCACCUUUGGUCAGGAGUUUGAGACCAGCCUGACCAACAUGGAGAUAUCCCAUCUCUA
rnacentral:SRP_RNA from 1 species